GGUAACUGCCAGUCCGGUUUCGUCGUUUUUUGACGUGACUUUCUGCAACAGAAUGACGGGGAGGAAAUUGUUAUCCAGCAUCAGGUUAAAGCCCCGGUAGAUACUGCCGACAAAGUCUAUCAACCUUUCCCCGUACUGGUUCUGGGCGGCGGUGAGAAAGCCGUGGCGGGUCGACUCCAGAUCAACGGGCACGCCACAGUUCUGCAGGCCAUAGAAACUGAGGCUCUCCCAUUCCUUGUUGCGCGGGGA
rnacentral:misc_RNA from 1 species